rnacentral:sRNA from 1 species
GCCAGGCGAGGUGGCCCACGUCUGUCAUCCCAGAGGCUCGGGAGGCUGAGGCAGGAGGAUCAUGAGUUCAAAGCCAGCCUCAGCAACAGCGAGGCACUAAGCAACGCAGUGAGACCCUGUCUCUA